rnacentral:rRNA from 1 species
AGCAAACGCUGGCGGCAGGCUUAACACAUGCAAGUCGAGCGGGCGUAGCAAUACGUCAGCGGCAGACGGGUGAGUAACGCGUGGGAACAUACCUUUUGGUUCGGAACAACACAGGGAAACUUGUGCUAAUACCGGAUAAGCCCUUACGGGGAAAGAUUUAUCGCCGAAAGAUUGGCCCGCGUCUGAUUAGCUAGUUGGUGAGGUAACGGCUCACCAAGGCGACGAUCAGUAGCUGGCUGAGAGGAUGAUCAGCCACAUUGGGACUGAGACACGGCCCAAACUCCUACGGGAGGCAGCAGUGGGGAAUAUUGGACAAUGGGCGAAAGCCUGAUCCAGCCAUGCCGCGUGAGUGAUGAAGGCCCUAGGGUUGUAAAGCUCUUUUGUGCGGGAAGAUAAUGACGGUACCGCAAGAAUAAGCCCCGGCUAACUUCGUGCCAGCAGCCGCCGU